rnacentral:rRNA from 1 species
AUUGAACGCUAGCGGGAUGCCUUACACAUGCAAGUCGAACGGCAGCACGGACUUCGGUCUGGUGGCGAGUGGCGAACGGGUGAGUAAUGUAUCGGAACGUGCCCAGUAGCGGGGGAUAACUACGCGAAAGCGUAGCUAAUACCGCAUACGCCCUACGGGGGAAAGCAGGGGAUCGCAAGACCUUGCACUAUUGGAGCGGCCGAUAUCGGAUUAGCUAGUUGGUGGGGUAACGGCUCACCAAGGCGACGAUCCGUAGCUGGUUUGAGAGGACGACCAGCCACACUGGGACUGAGACACGGCCCAGACUCCUACGGGAGGCAGCAGUGGGGAAUUUUGGACAAUGGGGGAAACCCUGAUCCAGCCAUCCCGCGUGUGCGAUGAAGGCCUUUGGGUUGUAAAGCACUUUUGGCAGGAAAGAAACGUCGCGGGUUAAUACCUCGCGAAACUGACGGUACCUGCAGAAUAAGCACCGGCUAACUACGUG